rnacentral:rRNA from 1 species
CCUACGGGUGGCAGCAGUGGGGAAUAUUGGACAAUGGGCGAAAGCCUGAUCCAGCCAUGCCGCGUGUGUGAAGAAGGCCUUCGGGUUGUAAAGCACUUUCAGUGGGGAAGAAAGCCUUGGGGCUAAUACCCUCGAGGAAGGACAUCACCCACAGAAGAAGCACCGGCUAACUCCGUGCCAGCAGCCGCGGUAAUACGGAGGGUGCGAGCGUGAAUCGGAAUUACUGGGCGUAAAGCGCGCGUAGGCGGUCUGAUAAGCCGGUUGUGAAAGCCCCGGGCUCAACCUGGGAACGGCAUCCGGAACUGUCAGGCUAGAGUGCAGGAGAGGAAGGUAGAAUUCCCGGUGUAGCGGUGAAAUGCGUAGAGAUCGGGAGGAAUACCAGUGGCGAAGGCGGCCUUCUGGACUGACACUGACGCUGAGGUGCGAAAGCGUGGGUAGCAAACAGGAUUAGAUACCCUAGUCGUC